rnacentral:rRNA from 1 species
UACGUAGGGUGCAAGCGUUGUCCGGAAUUAUUGGGCGUAAAGAGCUCGUAGGCGGCUUGUCGCGUCUGCUGUGAAAUCCUGAGGCUUAACCUUGGGCGUGCAGUGGGUACGGGCAAGCUAGAGUGCGGUAGGGGAGAUUGGAAUUCCUGGUGUAGCGGUGGAAUGCGCAGAUAUCAGGAGGAACACCGAUGGCGAAGGCAGAUCUCUGGGCCGUAACUGACGCUGAGGAGCGAAAGCAUGGGGAGCGAAC